rnacentral:tRNA from 1 species
GGGGAUAUAGCUCAGUUGGCUAGAGCGCUACAUUCGCAUUGUAGAGGUCGGGGGUUCGACUCCCCUUAUCUCCACCA